AACGUCUCAGUUCGGAUUGUAGUCUGCAACUCGACUACAUGAAGCUGGAAUCGCUAGUAAUCGCGAAUCAGAAUGUCGCGGUGAAUACGUUCCCGGGUCUUGUACACACCGCCCGUCACUACCAUGGGAGUCGGAAAUGCCCGAAGUCGGUGACCUAACUGAAAGGAAGGAGCCGCCGAAGGCAGGUCUGGUGACUGGGGUGAAGUCGUAACAAGGUAUC
rnacentral:rRNA from 1 species